GACGAACGCUGGCGGCGUGCUUAACACAUGCAAGUCGAACGGAAAGGCCCUGCUUUUGUGGGUUGCUCGAGUGGCGAACGGGUGAGUAACACGUGAGUAUCCUGCCCUUGACUUUGGGAUAACUUCAGGAAACUGGGGCUAAUACCGGAUAUGUGCUCCUGCUGCAUGGUGGGGGUUGGAAAGAUUCGGCUGUUGGGGCUGGACUCGCGGCUUAUCCGCUUGUUGGUGGGGUAGUGGCUUUCAAAGGGUUUGACGGGUAGCCGGCCUGGGAGGGUGACCGGCCACAAUGGGACUGAGAUACGGCGCAGACUCCUACGGGACGCAGCAGGGGGGAAUAUUGCGCAACGGGGGGAAGCCUGAGGCAGCAACGCCGCGUGCGGAAUGACGGCCUUCGAGUUGUAAACCGAUGUGGAAGGUGACGAAGAGUGAGUGACGGUAAUGGGUAAAAAAGCAACGGCUAACUACGUG
rnacentral:rRNA from 1 species